rnacentral:rRNA from 1 species
UACGGAGGAUGCGAGCGUUAUCCGGAUUUAUUGGGUUUAAAGGGUGCGCAGGCGGCACGGCGAGCCGGCGGUCAAAUCGCGGGGCUCAACCCCGCCCAGCCGUCGGAACUGCCGGGCUAGAGUGGGCGAGAAGUGCGCGGAAUGCGUGGUGUAGCGGUGAAAUGCAUAGAUAUCACGCAGAACUCCGAUUGCGAAGGCAGCGCACCGGCGCCCUACUGACGCUCAGGCACGAAAGCGUGGGGAUCAAACAGG